rnacentral:rRNA from 1 species
UACGCAGGGGGCGAGCGUUGCUCGGAAUUACUGGGCGUAAAGGGAGCGUAGGCGGAUAGUUUAGUCAGAGGUGAAAGCCCAGGGCUCAACCUUGGAAUAGCCUUUGAUACUGGCUGUCUUGAGUUCGGGAGAGGUGAGUGGAAUGCCGAGUGUAGAGGUGAAAUUCGUAGAUAUUCGGCGGAACACCAGUGGCGAAGGCGACUCACUGGCCCGAUACUGACGCUGAGGCGCGAAAGCGUGGGGAGCAAACAGG